rnacentral:snoRNA from 1 species
GAGUUAGCGAUGAUUAUAAAAGUAAUUUUUUGUUUUAAUUUGUUUAAUUUAGAUAUGAAAAACCUCUUAUUACAACCAUAGAAUCUGAGUUAC